CCAAGUCCAAGCAACAGAUGGGGUUGCUGCCAGCAAUGAAAAAAAUCUAGUGUGGUCACGCGUGCCUGUAAUCCCAGGACUGGGGACGUACAGGCAGGAGGAUCGGGGAGUUCAGAGCCAGCCCAGGAUACAUGAGAAGCUGACUUACAAAGAAAAAAAAAAAAAAAAAAAAAGGAACAGAAAACGGAGAGGCCACGAUCUGUGUUCCUUCAAAUGCUCUUGGAAGCACCCUUAUCUCGAUGUCUCCUUCAAUCGAACUGAGAAAAUACUUCACAACACAAUGAAAGCCAAGCACCAUGAGCCAGCAAUAACCACUGAAGUGUGUGAGAAAGGCUGAAACCCGUUCUCUAAGACCUACAGCAAGGUAUACAAAGCAACUCAAAAUGGAUGGAAGCUUGAAUGCUGGAGCUGAAACUAAGCUUCUUGAAGGAACCAGGGAAGCCUGAGGAUUCUGGGACUGGCAAGAACUUCUGGAUGGCAUCCAAGUUAACUCUGGAAAGUUGACACAACCUCAGAAGGGAGUUUCAAUUGAGGAGAAUGGCCAGAUCAGAUUGGCCUGUGGGCAUGACUGUGGGACUGUCUUGAUUAUUGAGGUGGGGGGCCCAGCCCACUGUGGGAAGCAUUAUUCCUUGGUCAGGACGUCCUGGGCUGUAUGAGAAUGCUGGCUAAUAAGCAUGCGUCUGCAAGCUAGCAGUAACCAGUCCUUCUCAUUCAAGUUCUUGCUUGGGCUCCUGCCCUGGAUUUCCCUCUGUGACAGACUCUAACCUGUAAUUUGAAUUAAACCCUGUCCUCCCCUAAACUACUUUUGAGCAGGUUUUAUCACAACAACAAAAAGUUAACCAGGAAAGACGGGGU
rnacentral:lncRNA from 1 species